rnacentral:rRNA from 1 species
UACGUAGGGCGCGAGCGUUGUCCGGAAUUAUUGGGCGUAAAGAGCUCGUAGGUGGUUUGUUGCGUCUGCCGUGAAAACCCGAGGCUUAACCUCGUGGCUUGCGGUGGAUACGGGCAGACUUGAGGUAGGUAGGGGAGAAUGGAAUUCCCGGUGUAGCGGUGAAAUGCGCAGAUAUCGGGAGGAACACCGGUGGCGAAGGCGGUUCUCUGGGCCUUACCUGACGCUGAGACACGAAAGCGUGGGUAGCAAACAGG